GCGCGAAAACUUUACAAUGCUGGCAGCAGCGAUAAGGGAACCUCGAGUGCCAGGUUACAAAUCUGGCUGUCGAGAUGCCUAAAAAGCAUUUCAUAGCAAGGGCCGGGCAAGACCGGUGCCAGCCGCCGCGGUAACACCGGCGGCUCGAGUGGUAACCGUUAUUAUUGGGUCUAAAGGGUCUGUAGCCGGCCGGAUAAGUCUCUUGAUAAAUCUGGCAGCUUAACUGUCAGGCGUUCAGGAGAUACUGUCUGGCUCGAGGCCGGGAGAGGUGAGAGGUACUUCAGGGGUAGGGGUGAAAUCUUGUAAUCCUUGAAGGACCACCAGUGGCGAAGGCGUCUCACCAGAACGGACCUGACGGCAAGGGACGAAAGCUAGGGGCACGAACC
rnacentral:rRNA from 1 species